UCAAACUUGCAAAACCAAUGAAGUUUGAACAGGGUUGUUAACGAGAUAAUAUCAACCAUAAUCAAUGAAGAAGCACAUGAAGCAAUAUAAGAAGCUCCCAGUAACAGUUUGUGAAAGAGUUAAAGACAAUGUAGGUUUAGCAAUAUUUUCAAUGGGAUGUCUAGUUUGAUAGUAAUCACUAUCCUUUAGAAGUAGAAUAUCUUUCAAAGAAUAGAAAACAUAACAUAACAAAUAGAAGGUGAUAAUCAGUAAACUUUCGUUGAGCAUCUGCCCUGAACUUGCCUUUCUUUAAGGCCACUCCCCUCUUGUCAUCGCUAUGGCAAGGUGAAGAUGCACCGUCUCAUUGUUUGUCUACACGUAAAGGACCUUAACAUCAGCACAAGCAGGAGCUAUUUGUCCCAAGCAAAUAGAGGUUGUUUAUUCUCCCUCGUAGAGAAGGGAAAAAUCAGCUUUUUUUACUACCCAAUAUACUUCUUCUUCCUCGACUUAUGAUCAGAAUUGCAUUGCACCAAAUGUUUUCAGGAGCUUUCAAUUGUUGGCUUCUUUGAAAAUUACAAGUUAACUUAUAAUUUGGAAGCAUAUGAUGCAAUAACAAUUAACAAGUUUAAAUGAAUCAAGAACAUAAACUUCAGGUUCAGUUGAUUCUAAAUAAGCUACACAAAGCUAUUUUUAAAAUUUAAUGCAAGAGAAGGGCAUUAAACUUAAAUUGAACAUCAGCCUAUGAUUUUUAAUAUAAAAGUACGUUUGAACCUUAUCACACAGCAUACACAGGAUGAGGCAAAUAAUACCUUGUGGGGAGCCCACAGAUAGAAUCAGAUUAAUAUUAUCACUACCGAGUUGUAUAGAUUUUAAGAGAGAGUUCAAUGACGAAACUCUCGUUCUAACUCCAGAAACCUUUGCAGCAUGUUGCAUAACGAACGGCAAGGGCCCAUCUUCUAACAAUUGAUCGAGCUCUAAUACCAUUCAAAGAAACUAAAGAUCUCAUCUUUUAAUAACACACAUUUAUAAGAAAUAAUGAACCCAGCAAAUAAUUCAUCGUCAAAGAUAGUAUAAUUACCUCGGGUAUGACGAUCUAUGAAGCAAUUGAGGUGGUCUUGACUUUUGAGAGCAACCUGAGCUUUAGAAUCGAAGUCCCUGAUAAUACUAGCAAGCAUCAGAAAUGAACCCUUGACCAACGCUUUGCUGCUCUUGUUGUUUCCAUUGUCAGUGUUGAUCUGACAUUGCUGUUCUUGGGGGUUGUUUUCACUGAGAUUGUUAUUUCCAUUAGAGGAAACUAAGGUCUAAUUGAAAAGAAACAGCAAUAUUACUUUCCUCACUAGGAUUUCUGUUGCGGCGGUCUUGUGGGGAUUCCAUUUUCAGUAAUGAAUUAUCAAGCAUCCCAGGAAGAAGAAGAGGAAUCAUAUGUGGCAGAUUUGAGUUCGAGGUUUCUAACGAAUGGGCUAAGCAGCCCAUUUAACAGUUCCAUUGGAUCUCAAUGAGUCCCAUCAUAUUUUUCAUGGACCGACAGACCAAAUAUAUACAAAGACGAAAAUAACCCUUGAGAUGCCUGAGGUCCGAUUGGGGUUUCCUAUUGCCUAU
rnacentral:lncRNA from 1 species